rnacentral:rRNA from 1 species
GAUGAACGCUGGCGGCGUGCUUAACACAUGCAAGUCGAACGAUGAAGCUCAGCUUGCUGGGUGGAUUAGUGGCGAACGGGCGAGUAACACGUGAGUAACCUGCCCUUAACUCUGGGAUAAGCCUGGGAAACUAGGUCUAAUACCGGAUAGGAGCGCCUACCGCAUGGUGGGUGUUGGAAAGAUUUAUCGGUUUUGGAUGGACUCGCGGCCUAUCAGCUUGUUGGUGAGGUAAUGGCUCACCAAGGCGACGACGGGUAGCCGGCCUGAGAGGGUGACCGGCCACACUGGGACUGAGACACGGCCCAGACUCCUACGGGAGGCAGCAGUGGGGAAUAUUGCACAAUGGGCGAAAGCCUGAUGCAGCGACGCCGCGUGAGGGAUGACGGCCUUCGGGUUGUAAACCUCUUUCAGUAGGGAAGAAGCGAAAGUGACGGUACCUGCAGAAGAAGCACCGGCUAACUACGUG